UACGGAGGGUGCAAGCGUUAUCCGGAUUCACUGGGUUUAAAGGGUGCGUAGGUGGGCAUGUAAGUCAGUGGUGAAAUCUCCGGGCUUAACCCGGAAACUGCCAUUGAUACUAUAUGUCUUGAAUAUCCUGGAGGUGAGCGGAAUAUGUCAUGUAGCGGUGAAAUGCUUAGAUAUGACAUAGAACACCAAUUGCGAAGGCAGCUCACUACGGGAUUAUUGACACUGAGGCACGAAAGCGUGGGGAUCAAACAGG
rnacentral:rRNA from 1 species